AAAGUUGCCUACCACCGAGCUAAUAUGUAUUAAGACGAUGAACCCGAAGCAUACAUGUGAUGGAGCUGCAGUAAAAGCUGGGUACCGGUCCACAAGGGGAUGGAUGGGAAAUAUAAUAAAGGAAAAGUUGAAGGUUGCUCCCAAUUACAAACCUAAGGAUAUUGCAAAUGAUAUUGAGCGUGAAUAUGGCAUUCAGUUGAACUACUCUCAGGCAAGACGUGCGAAAGAGAAGGCAAGGGAGCAGCUUCAAGGUUCUUACAGAGAGGCAUACAGUCAGUUACCUUUACUAUGUGAGAAAAUUAAAGAAACUAAUCCAGGUAGUGUUGCUAUAGUUUACGCAAAGGAUGACUCAAGCUUCCAUCGUUUAUUUAUCUCAUUUCAUGCCUCAAUAGCUGGUUUUCGACAAGGUUGUCGUCCUCUUCUGUUCCUUGACAGCACUCUUCUCUAUGCAAAAUAUCAAG
rnacentral:misc_RNA from 1 species